rnacentral:lncRNA from 1 species
CGUGGCUGUGUUUACAAGAGAGGAUCCCUUGCCACCUCUUCCGAGCAGGAAGACUGGCUAUCACCCAUCCCGCAGACAGAACCUCACACAGAAAAAGAGCUCCAAAAAAGUAUGUUUACAACUUUUAUUUUGUAUAGAUCUGUAUCCACAUGUUCAUGUAUUCCUUUGGUAAAUAGGCUACCACACUUUUUUUUGUCUCCUGUUACAUAGUGAAUUCGAUUGAUUAAACCUGGUUGUCAGCACCUGCAGACAAUUAGGUUGAGACCAUUUAGUCUCCUAACUAACCAAUCUCAUCUUCACAGCAGCAACACCGUAGUAGUUAGUUUCCUGGUUUUUCAGGUACUUUAUGUUUACUGGUCAACAAACAACACUUAAGAACUUAAAACCUCCGUGUUGUGUCCCAUAUUAUGUUCGGCCUCCGAGCCAGCCGUAACACUCCGUAGACAACAGAUCCUGGACGGCCCGGCCAGCCGGCCAACCCUCUGAGCACAGCAGAGCAAAGACAAUAACAAGGCCUGAGCAGUAAACCUGGUCCCACCUGUCGUCUCCAGACCCCUGCAGACGACCGACCGGCCUGGCCCUCAACGGACCAGGGAUCUCCCUCCAGCGAGACGGCCUUCCCUUCCAACACGGAUCCGCCUGGACCCUCUGCUGGGGGUUUCAACAUGUCUCCCCCCCACCAACAGGAUUCAGUUCUGGCAAGGUACGUCCAGCGUUUCCGCUACGGCGAGCCCAGGAGCCGGGCGGAGCGCCGACCGGUGUCCCCUGCUGCCGAGAGAGAGGAGGCACGACUCUUCUGGUGGAUGAGUCCCUCGUCUCCUCCUUCUAGUCCUACACCCCGAGACUCAGGAGACAUGGAUGAAACAGCUGCCCUGAAAGAAGACCAGGACCCUGGCAGAGGCGGGGAACUCGGAACCUCAAGACCGUACGGGGAACCACUUGAUAUCAGCUCGUUGGACCUGUCCGACUCCUCUCUGGGGGACCGCUGGGACAUUGAGGGCGUGCAGGAGAGGGCCAGCCGACUGCUACAGAGGAGUGAGAGCUCCGUCAGCAGUGGCUCCCUGGUCGUCAGCUCUGAGGGCCUCGGGGGCUCUGGUUUAUCCUCCCCCGUCAGCGCAAACGAGCCGUUCCGAAGACCCUUCUUUCCCUGUCCGAUUGAACCGACCGCGUGUAACACAAGCUCAUCUUCGGCCCCUGUGGGCCCCUCGCAGAACGGCUACACGCCAUCUGCCUCCAUUAGUCGCCAACGCCCGGAGGAAGACAUCCUCUUCCAAUGGCGGUUGAGGAGGAAAAUGGAGCAGGCCAGCCACUGGCCCCCGGCCCCCUCACAACCGUUCCCUAGCCUCCACCAGCAACAACCACCUUCAGCCUGGCAGAACCCUACUCUCCACCAACCACCUUCAGCCUGGCAGAACCCUACUCUCCACCAACCACCUCCAGCUGGACAGACAUCUAGUCUCCACCAGGCCUCAGUCAGUGGCUCCAUGGAACAUAUGCCUCUUGAACAGCGGCCUCAGGACCAGGGACCCGAACCGUCGCAAAGAACGCCGCCAUCCAUCCUUCCCACGCCACAACACGGGAGAAAAGGCACGCACGGGCCGUGUCCCCCAGCCGCGGGCCCCCCCUCGACAUCCACCCCCCGUCCUGCGUCCAGCCAAACGGCCUCCAGUCACCAGCCGGCGAGGGAGCCUCCUCUCUGGGAUGGAUUCCCUGGUCCGGUGCCAUCGUCUUUUCCAACAACGCCACCCAAAGCGCUAGGCCGGCCCCCGACCGACAUCGCCCCAAAACACUCUCGACGAACCGUGACUAACCCUUCCCCGGCGGCGGGCGGCCGGGAACCAGAGUCGUGUCCCCCCCCGCCCAGCUCCUCGGAGCCGACAAAGGACGAGCGGAACUCUGACAUCAAGGAGCAGAAAACGGCCCACAGGAAGCAGAAGAGGCGCCCUGCUGGAGACGGGCCGGGCCCUCAGAUCGGGGGCGGCUCGCGGCCCCGCCCGGACAGCAUGGCAGCGUCCGCGCCUCAAAGGUUGUCCCCCGACAAAGACACACGGCAGAGGAAGAGCCAAGCGCUCCACCAGGGGGUCUGUUCUGCUCAAUGUGCCCCGCCGUCUCCCGUCCACCUGGCCUUACGACAGGCGGUUUCCGAGGUGCUGUUCCCCACGCGGCGUGCCUCUUCCUCCUCCUCCGUCCCCCCGCGGGGCGCCCCAGCUGCUCCGCCGCGGCCCCAGGGUCCCGACGGCAGCGCCCAGCCCCCCGAGGAGGUCCUUUCACAGCUGCUCCGCGACGCCGAGGAUUCCGACGGAGCGGAGUUCGGAGACGAUGGUUUACUGCAGGUGCUACGCAAGCAGAGGACGCGAGUGAAGGACCAAAUAAGUCAAGUGGACUCCUUGUUGGAGGAAUUCACACCAGUGGGGGAAGAAGCUUGA